rnacentral:rRNA from 1 species
AACGAACGCUGGCGGCAGGCCUAACACAUGCAAGUCGAGCGCCCCGCAAGGGGAGCGGCGGACGGGUGAGUAACGCGUGGGAACGUACCCUUUGCUACGGAAUAGCCUCGGGAAACUGGGAGUAAUACCGUAUGUGUCCUUCGGGGGAAAGAUUUAUCGGCAAGGGACCGGCCCGCGUUGGAUUAGGUAGUUGGUGGGGUAAAGGCCUACCAAGCCGACGAUCCAUAGCUGGUUUGAGAGGAUGAUCAGCCACACUGGGACUGAGACACGGCCCAGACCCCUACGGGUGGCAGCAGUGGGGAAUCUUAGACAAUGGGCGCAAGCCUGAUCUAGCCAUGCCGCGUGAGCGAUGAAGGCCUUAGGGUUGUAAAGCUCUUUCAGGGGGGAAGAUAAUGACUGUACCCCCAGAAGAAGCCCCGGCUAACUCCGUG